rnacentral:rRNA from 1 species
GACGAACGCUGGCGGCGUGCUUAACACAUGCAAGUCGAACGGAAAGGCCCUGCUUGCGGGGUACUCGAGUGGCGAACGGGUGAGUAACACGUGGGUGAUCUGCCCUGCACUUCGGGAUAAGCUUGGGAAACUGGGUCUAAUACCGGAUAGGAACCAUCUUUAGUGUGGUGGUUGGAAAGUUUUUUCGGUGUAGGAUGAGCUCACGGCCUAUCAGCUUGGUGGUGGGGUAAUGGCCUACCAAGGCGGCGACGGGCAGCCGGCCUGAGGGGGUGGACGGCCACCAUUGGACUGGGAUACGGCCCAGACCCCUACGGGAGGCAGGAGUGGGGAAUAUUGCACAAUGGGGGCAAGCCUGAUGCAGCGACGCCGCGGGGGGGAUGAAGGCCUUCGGGUUGUAAACUCGCUUCGGUAGGGACGAAGCUUUUUGUGACGGUACCUAGAUAAGAAGCACCGGCUAACUACGUG